GUUAUCACGGGAAACACUGGAGUCACUGGGAAUCUAGUAGACUGCAGACUGGUGGCCAGGAGCUGCUACCUCAGGCAGGGAGGGUGGAGAGGCAUGGGGCGUCUCCAGUCUGAGGCUACCUACCACAUGAGGCAAGGACUACUCUGGACCUGGAGGAGGCCCGGAUUCAGAAGCCAGGAUGCCAUAGUGGGGUAGACUUCUGCCUGGGCCAUGCUGGCUCUGUGAAGAGAUUUUUUUUUCCCCCUGUGCCAAGCAUGGCCGGCCUUUUGACACUGCCAAGACAUACAAAGUUCACGAUGAGAACUAUGCAAUGGAGUUACAUUUUUUUUUUUUUUCCAAAACCUAUCUUUCUCAUAUUUUGGAGUUCUGACCCGAGCUGCUGACCCAGAAGACGAAAUGAGAAGAUAGAUAGACUGGAAAGUUCAUUCCGGCUUAAUCCCGGUGGAAUUUCAUCAGAGCUCCUGGAGAGUUGGACAGCAGCAUGCCCGGGAGGGAGCCGGGGCGGGAGGAAAGGCGCUUCCCCAGGAAGUGAUUAGCCAGGCAGACCUGUUGUCCUAUGGAGGCACACGUUACCCGGCGGAUGUAAUUACCCAUUCGCUCUGUUAUUAGCUGGGGUAAGAGAUUGAGGCUCUCGCCCUGCUCCUGCAUUUCAAAGCUUACUCACACGCCCGCAUCCCUGAUAUUAAAGCACAAUGAGACUUUUUUGAAUUCAAUUAA
rnacentral:lncRNA from 1 species